rnacentral:rRNA from 1 species
GGUCGGACGGGUGAGUAACGCGUGAGAAUCUGGCUUCAGGUCGGGGACAACGCACUGGAAACGGUGGCUAAUACCGGAUGAGCCUUUUGGUAAAAGAUUGCAUUGCCUGAAGAAGAGCUCGCGUCUGAUUAGCUAGUUGGUGUGGUAAGGGCGCACCAAGGCGACGAUCAGUAGCUGGUCUGAGAGGAUUGAUCAGCCACACUGGGACUGAGACACGGCCCAGACUCCUACGGGAGGCAGCAGUGGGGAAUUUUCCGACAAUGGGCGAAAGCCUGACGGAGCAAUACCCGCGUGAGGGAGGAAGGCUCUUGGGUUGUAAACCUCUUUUCUCAGGGAAGAUAAUGACGGUACCUGAGGAAUCAGCAUCGGCUAACUCCGUGCCAGGCAGCCGCGGUAAUACGGAGGAUGCAAGCGUUAUCCGGAAUGAUUGGGCGUAAAGAGUCCGUAGGUGGCAUUUCAAGUCUGCUGUUAUAAGGUCGGGGCUCAACUCCGAAAGAGCGGUGGAAACUGAAGAGCUAGAGGUUGGUAGGGGCAGAGGGAAUUCCCAGUGUAGCGGUGAAAUGCGUAGAGAAUUGGGAAGAACACCGGUGGCGAAAGCGCUCUGCUGGACCAAGACUGACACUGAGGGACGAAAGA